rnacentral:misc_RNA from 1 species
GAUGAAGAACUCAGCGAAAUGCGAUAAGUAAUGUGAAUUGCAGAAUUCAGUGAAUCAUCGAAUCUUUGAACGCACAUUGCGCCCGCCAGUAUUCUGGCGGGCAUGCCUGUCCGAGCGUCAUUUCAACCCUCGAACCCCUCCGGGGGGUCGGCGUUGGGGACCUCGGGAGCCCCUAAGACGGGAUCCCGGCCCCGAAAUACAGUGGCGGUCUCGCCGCAGCCUCUCCUGCGCAGUAGUUUGCACAACUCGCACCGGGAGCGCGGCGCGUCCACGUCCGUAAAACACCCAACUUCUGAAAUGUUGACCUCGGAUCAGGUAGGAAUACCCGCUGAACUUAAGCAUAUCAAUAAGCGGAGGA